rnacentral:rRNA from 1 species
CCCUUAGAUGUUCUGGGCCGCACGCGCGCUACACUGAUGCAUUCAACGAGCCUAGCCUUGACCGAGAGGUCCGGGUAAUCUUUGAAACUGCAUCGUGAUGGGGCUAGAUUAUUGCAAUUAUUAAUCUUCAACGAGGAAUGCCUAGUAAGCGUGAUUCAUCAAAUCGCGUUGAUUACGUCCCUGCCCUUUGUACACACCGCCCGUCGCUCCUACCGAUUGAGUGUGUUGGUGAGGAGUUUGGAUUGGCCUCGGAAGGUGGUUCGCCACCGUCCGUAGCUGAGAAGUUCUCCAAACCGCCCCACUUAGAGGAAGGAGAAGCCGUAACA